AGUCCUGCCAACAGCUGUGAGUGAGCAUGGACGCAGAUCCUCUCCCAGUGGAGCAUUUGGAUGACCACGGCUCUGGCUAACACCUCACUUACAGCCUUGGGAGAGAUUCUGAGUCAGAGGCAUCCAGCUAAAUUGACCCACAGACACGGUAAAUCAGGGAUUUCUUCUUGGUUUGGAUCCACUGUUGAUUUUAGGUUACAAAAAGAUGGCAGAUUGCAUCUUGGGCACUCUCUUGUAUGACUUUUUGGAGAAGCCAGUUUUCAUGUUGUGAGAGGCCUGGCAGAGGGGCCCAAAUGAGUUCGCUGGGAAGCGGAUCACAGAAACCAUGAGGCCUAUAAAAGCCCCAGGCUCAGCCAGAGCAGAGCAGAUGAUGGAUGACCAGCUGCAGAGAAGAGCUACCCUUUCUGCUGACAGCAGAAGAUGUCCCAACAACCAGCAGAAGAGAGAAGCUAUCCAUUCUAGGGCCUCUUCUCUGCUGAGAGCUUCAGAAACCUGCAGAGACAUCGAGACUACCAGCUGCAGAGUGGAACAAUCCACUCCAGGGCCACCUCUCUGCUGAGAGCUAAGAAGACAAUGAGAUGACCUGCCUGCUAGGAGGAGCUUCCCUCUCCAGGGUCUCCUUUCUGCUAGGAGCUGAACUCUCAUUGGAACAUCCUGGCUGUGGAAAGGAGCUACCCUCUGCAGGUCUCCUGUGUGCUGUUCUAUUGAUCAAUAAAGCUCCCCUUCAUCUCGCUCAUCCUCCACUUGGCUCUGUACCUCAUGCUUCCUAGUUGCAGGACAAGAACUCGGGACCUACCAAAUGGCAGAGCUAAAAGAGCUAUAACACAGGACUGAAACAUGCCCCCUGCUUGCCACAUUGAGGGCAAAGAGAAGGAGAUAAGAUCUGUGCCUUCUCAGGCAGCCCAGACCUGGGAGCUCCCUGAGCCAGGGCUGUGACUCCCUCUUUGGGGUCCUGUGGUGCCUAGUAUCUCCAAGCUUCCAGGUGCCACUGCAUUUCCCGGUGCCAGCUGGGGAAGCUUCCUGCAGUGCACCUGGUCUGGCCACAGCCUCACAGAGAGUCAGUGCCUGUGCCAGCACCUGUAACUGCCCGCCCCAUUGCAGCAGCCGGCAUGUCCGAUUGCACACUGGCUGAACCCCAUGCUCCCUCACACACCCCUUGCCACUCCAUGCCUGACUUACCCUUGGCAGGUAUGGGAUCCAGGCCAGUAGUGUCAGCCAAGUAAAGCCUGCCAGGCCAGGUAGGCAGAACAAACCCAGCGGGCCUAAGCAAGACUUGGGCAAAGACAUCACCAGCCAGAAAAACAAUAUCCCAAGAAUCUUGUGACACUAGGCAUAGUGAAGUUCUUUAUUAAUUUGUAGAUUUUUAACCUGGAAAAUUCUAAUAUUUUCAACUAUUAAAAAAGAUAAUCCCCAAAAUAAUGCUUUAUUGUCAUGUAAAAUAUUAAAUAGAUUGUAUGUAACUUAGCUAUAUUAUUCUAAGAUAAAAUUCAUUAACUUGUCUUUAAGAAACUAGUUCCUAAAAUGCACUUUGAACUGUAUUUAUAAUCUCACUAGUCCUCUACUUAAUUAGGAAGUGGAAUAAAAUAUUUGAUAUAUUUUCUUUUUAUAUUUACAAAAGUCACCAUUUAAAUUCUUUGAAUUUUAACAUGUUAUACUUUUGGAGGAUCCACUGAGACACUAAAGUGGGUUCAUAAAGCCAACCAAACUGUGAUAGCACAGAAAUGUACUUCAGGAGCUGUUUAGGAGGAGAGACUUUUCUUUCUCCUCAAAGUGAUUCUCAAAUAGCAAUAGAGUCCUGGUGCAGUGGCUCAUGCCUACAAUCGAGCACUUUGGGAGGCCAAGGUGGGAGAAUUGUUUGAGCCCAGGAGUUCAAGAUCAGCAUAGGCAACAUAGCGAGACCUCAUCUCUACAAAAAAUACAGAAAUUAGCCAGGUGUGCCGGCAUGUGCUGUGUUUUUUGUCCAGCUACUUGGGAGGCUGAAGUGGAGGGAUUUCUUGAAACUGGGAGGUCAAGACUGAAGUAAGCCAUGAUCCUGCCACUAUACUCCUACAUGGGGGAAAGAGCAAGACUCUGUCUCAAAAAAAAAAAAAAAAAAAGAAAAAAAGAAAAAAAAGGCAAUAGAACUGUACCUUUGCUGUGAUGCUAGUCUACUACAAGUUGGCUUUUUUCUUUAAAUUUUGAAUUUUUCAUUUUCUUUUCUAGUUCUUCACCAUUUUGGUUCUGGAUAUAGUUUCCACUAGAAGAUGAUAAUGAUGAUAAUGAUAAUCCCCAUGCAUGCAUUAAUAAUUGGGAAUGUAAUUUUAUAAUCUGAACUUUAAAGACCUCUGUUAAGAUUAAAGGGAUUUCUUGUCCUUCAUAUGAGACAUGACAAGGAAUGAGAGUUGCAUUUUUUAAAUUCUUUGUUUCUCUAUUUGUGUAUCCAAAUAAUUUCAUAAAACAUUUUAUAACUACUAGAAGGGAAAAUAAUCCUUUGAAAUCUUGAACAGUGUAUUUUGGUGUUUCCUUGAUUACUUAAUCUGUUGCAGAGAUUGUUAUAAUUAAAGCUACAAUUUUCUCUGUGUUGCUAUAA
ensembl:lncRNA PPP1R9A-AS1 PPP1R9A antisense RNA 1